UACGGUCAGGAGGUCUGGAUCAUGACCAGAGGACCCAGGUCCUGGACCCAUUCUUUUGUAGUUUUUCUGGGUGUGUCCCACUGGGAGGAGACCCUGAAGCAGACCUCUCUGCUGGGUUUAUAAAUCCUCUAUCAGAGUGGAACGCUCCAGGGGGAGCUGAAGAGAGGGAGGUCUGGGUUUUUCACCUCUGGAUCUGCAAACUAACCAUGAAUAAAAGAAAGAACAAGGAUAAACUGAAACCCACGAGUUUGAGUGAUGGUGGGUGGAGAAGGGUGGAGCUGACAGAAAAACAAAUAUAUCCUUGUGAAGUCCUUCAUGACACCUUAUUAAAGAUUCUGUUCAGUCAUCAAGUAAUUUUUGAGACGACUGUUUAAUUUCAAUAAGUAACAAAAGUACAAAUCUAACAAUAAACAUCUAUGAUAAUCUUA